rnacentral:rRNA from 1 species
AUUGAACGCUGGCGGCAGGCUUAACACAUGCAAGUCGAGCGGAGUGAUGGUGCUUGCACUAUCACUUAGCGGCGGACGGGUGAGUAAUGCUUAGGAAUCUGCCUAUUAGUGGGGGACAACAUCUCGAAAGGGAUGCUAAUACCGCAUACGUCCUACGGGAGAAAGCAGGGGAUCACUUGUGACCUUGCGCUAAUAGAUGAGCCUAAGUCGGAUUAGCUAGUUGGUGGGGCAAAGGCCUACCAAGGCGACGAUCUGUAGAGGGUCUGAGAGGAUGAUCCGCCACACUGGGACUGAGACACGGCCCAGACUCCUACGGGAGGCAGCAGUGGGGAAUAUUGGACAAUGGGGGGAACCCUGAUCCAGCCAUGCCGCGUGUGUGAAGAAGGCCUUAUGGUUGUAAAGCACUUUAAGCGAGGAGGAGGCUCUUUUGGUUAAUACCCAAGAUGAGUGGACGUUACUCGCAGAAUAAGCACCGGCUAACUCUGUGCCAGCAGCCGCCGCCG